AUGGAUACAUUGUCUUUGUAUGCAGGAUUUCUUUAUAUGCGAAGCUGGAUAUGAGGGUAGAGCGGAUGUGGUGGCUACCGUGAGCUGUAAGAAGCUCAUCGUGGACAAGCAAUACGACGCGAGCAUCCAGGCCAUCAUAACUUUCCACGCCUUCGUCCUUGGAGAGAAGAUGAUUCCUUAUUAGUGUGUUGCACAUCCUAAGUGCUGGGUUAGAUGAUGCAAAGGUGGUGCUCCAACGAAUGGGAUGAGGCGCACAAUGCUAACCGAAAACGACGUUUGAUGAUGCAAGGUCCCUCCCACCAACAAGGCAACCGCAGUCUCAACAAAUACUCAGAAGCAUGGUCGGCGUCACAUGGUGACCAGCCUUGCUCCAUCUUCUCGGUGUAUGGUAUGGCCCACUAGGGCAAGGCGACGUCCGACGUCACCUACAACUCAGAGGACGAGCCCGAGGCGUAUAGAACCUCGUCGUCCACCGCUGCCUCAGUGAGUAUACCGCCAUGGUAAAGGAGGUCCAUGGGCCAGAUUACGAUUCAAGGACCGAGGACAUUGAUGGAGAUGUCCUCAUGAGGGUCGGAGGAGGCAAGAGGCAUGGAUGGUACUGGAUUGCCGCGGGCAAUCGACUCGUCCUCCACUCUCACUUUGUCUCUAGUGCGAUCAAGGAGCACGAGCACGAACCCAUCCAUAGGACCUCGGCAAGACAACUCACAUCAUCACAUACAUGAACUCCAAACUCAGCAAGAAGAAGAGAGGAGGCAACAUGAGUAGUUGGAGGCGAGGAUGAUGGCCGAGCAGACGACUCACUUGGCCUAUCAACAGAGGAUGGCGGAGAUGUUUCAGUACAUGUAGAGCCUUGGCGGCGGAUUAGAAUCAAUCGACGGCAUCAAACAACCCUCAUGGUUCGUCCAGUCCUUCGUCGAACCAGUCCAACCGCCCACCUCGCUGAUCUUCCGUCACUUAGUGGUGAAUUGUGAAAACUAUGUUUGUGAAACUUGUGAUACUUAUGUUUGUGAGUGUUGGUAAUACCUAUGUUUAUGAAACUUGUUGAUGUUGGUAAUACUUGGUCUGAACUUAGUGAUGUUUGUGAAAAACUUGUGAGAUUUGUGGUCUUUGUGAGAUAUGUGGUCUUUAUGAUGUAUAUGAUGAUUCUGUGAACUCUAUGAUGUAUAUGUGAUGAUAUA